AAGAGUAUAGCUGGAUCUGGAUUUAGUUAGGUGUUUGUCCCUUUUGUCCCACACCCUUUUAUGAGCAUUCCUCCCAAAGCUGCACACUUGAUCAAAGAGGAUGACCUUCUCUAAAGCGAGGAGGACCAUCUUCACUCAAGGGCAUGUGAGUCUCUGUGCUUCCCUUACUAGGGCACUUAAACAAGCUCUCCAUUUCAUUAAUAGAAACAAGCCUAUUAAAACUAUCCACUGUGUCUUGUUUUGGUAGAUUGUGGAAUUUUAAGGAACAAGUUCAC
rnacentral:snRNA from 1 species